rnacentral:misc_RNA from 1 species
AUGUAUUCAUAGACAAGGAGGAGCUCACGGCUGCGGCGUGAAGUGCACCCAUAAAGAGAGACAAGAUUUUUGUGGCGAAGGCGUGUGAGAAUUUUUAUUUCAUUCAUGAACCGCUGAAACCUUCUGUAGUCAUGCUCAUAUAGGCGCUUGACGGCAACCUCCCUCCCAUCAUGUAGUUUUCCAUAGUAUACAGACCCAAAGCCUCCAUUUCCAAGCUCCUUUUCUGGAUCAAAGUUAUUAGUUGCUUCUUCAAGCUGAGUGUAGGAGAAAAUAGGGACCUCAAAGUAGACAUUGUCUUCUUCCAGGUCUGAUUUUGGGGAGAGAUUGGAUGAAGUAAUUGCUGAGAGAGUGUUUGAGGGAGCAUCCUUUCUCUUAUAUCGAUACCAAAUGGAGAUUAUGAACAACACAAUCACAGUGGCGGCAGCAAGGCAUGUGAGACCUAUUUCUAGCUUCCUUUUCGGUCCUCCUUGUCUUUUUGGCUGGCUUGUUUCCGAGGGUAUUGGAAUUAGUUUUCCAUUUGCAUCUGCACACGGGAACUUUUCAUUGCUCUUGUAUAGGCAAGUACCAUUGGAUAUUU